rnacentral:lncRNA from 10 species
GGAAAUCAAUAUGCUAGGCGGAAUCAGAAAAGAAAGAGGGAGAAUUGAGACAAACUCUCAUCUAUCACAGCAAAAAAGAAAGAAAAAUCAACUUUGUUUAUAUCUGGCGUUCAUAAAUCAAGAAAUAGCAAUAUAAGCGUUUUACUUAGGGAUAUGAAGGUCACCACCAGAAGAAUGUGAUUGCCUGAGGAGCAUGCUGGGAUUGGAGGAGUGGGGCAAGGGUCUCCUGUUUUUCAUUAUGAGCCUGUAUCCAAAAAGAAAAAAGUGUGUGGAUUUUUUUGAUACAAUUUUUUCUUUUAAUUAAAAAAAAGCAUAUCAGAGAAUCAGGGAAUUCUUCAAUGUUCCCAUUAUUCUUAGGCUAAAGACCUAAUUUUUUUUUUUUUUUUUUUUUUUUGAGACAGGGUCUGUCUCUGUCACUCAGGCUGGAGCACACUGGUACAAUCAGGGCUCACUGUCACCCCAAUCAACCUUCUGGUCGACCUUCCAGGCUGAAGUGAUCCUACUGCUCAGCCUCCUUAGUUGCUGGGACUACAGGCACAUGCCACAACACCCAGCUAAUUUUUGUAUUUUUUUGCAGAGACGGGGUCUCGCUAUGUUGCCCAGGCUAGUCUCUGACAGAGCAGGAGCACCGUCAUCUCAGACAAACACUGCCACUUUAAGUUCCAGCUCCCUUUUUAAAACUCCUGGGCUCAAGAGAUCCUCCC